AUGGAUGGCUCUUCGUGGACACUGACGGUUGUAUAUGGGCCGCAGGAUGAUGAUGACAAGAUUGCAUUUCUGCAGGAGCUCCGCAACCUCAAGCUCUUGGUGAAGAAUGAUUGGCUGCUUGCAGGCGAUUUCAAUCUGAUCGCGAGAGCAAAUGAGAAGAACAACCCCAAUGUCAACAUUCGGAUGAUGGGCCGGUUCAGAAGUGUCAUCGAGGAUCUUGAACUCCGUGAGUUUUAGCUAACUGGAAGGAAAUUUACUUGGGCCAGUGACAAUAGCAACCACACCUGCUCCAAACUCGACCGCAUCCUCAUGUCUCGCGAAUGGGAACUCAAGUUCCCCCAGUACCAUUUGAUGCCUGCCUCCACGGCCAUUUCAGACCACAACCCUUUGUUACUC
rnacentral:rRNA from 1 species